AUCGCGUCUCUUUCGAUUGUCGUCUCAUCUUUUCUCCUCAAGCAAAAAACGAUUGUCUUCUCAACUCCCAUACUUUCCUCCAUCAUUCAUAAUUAUCUUUUAAUCCAACCCAUAGAAUCUCUAACAAUAGAUUGAUUCGUCUGUUUGAUUCAAUUUCAUCACCAUCCACAACCGAGACGAGGACGAGGACGAGCAGAAAACUCGAGACUUGGUACCGUCAGAUCGACUGGAGAAUCUGUUCCACCAGUGAAACUGUUCUCAGCGAGGUUAAGCCUCACGAGGUUUGUGAGACUGAACAAGCUCUCGGGUAUUUGCCGGAGAAUUUGUUUCCUUGCAGGUAGAGGUGACGGAGAUCGGAGGAGGUGGUUAGAUCGAGAGGGAGAGAGCCGGCGAGGGUGUUGAGACGGAGGCUCAGUGUUCGGAGACGAGUUAAGUUUCCGAAAACACCGUUCGGGAUGGUGCCGGAGAGAGAGAUGCCGGGAGACGGAGGGCGGUGACUCUGUUGUUGUCGCAUUUUACGCCGGCCCAGUUGCACGGCGAGGUGUGUCUGAUGUCCCAGCAGAAUGUGCGGCCGCCGACGGAGGAACGGAGAGAGAGAAGAGCGGCUCUUUCGGCGUUGAGGUCUUGGGUUGAAGGGAGAGGGAGAGAGAGUAGGAGGGUUGUGAGGAGAACAGAGAGAAUCGUCAUGGAGGAGUUGGGGAAGACUCGCAUUGUGCGAUGAUUCAUAGAAGGAGAAGGAGAGAGAGAGAGAGAGAUAGACGGUAGAAGAAAGAGAAGGCUCUUUUGUAGACGAUGAAUUACCACAGACGGUGUUAGAGGCGCCAUGGAGAUUCGAGCUUUUAUUUGCAAGUCAGAUCACUCUAAUUCGCUUGAAGUUUUCUCCGACGAUGGUAAAUCAGCAGCUCCAUUAUUUUGAGCUAAAGGCGUGGAUCUCCAAAUGGUCGAUCGAAAGUCCACUUUGAUCCAGGGUUCAGUCAACGUGCAUAGGCUCAAUGCAUUCAGAAACCUCAUAAAAGAAGAUAUUGUUGGUGAAUGGGAAUUAAAACAGCUUACAAUGAAGAAACCCAACAAAAUUAAACGUAUUAUGGCAAUAGUAUGCAUUCAAAGGUCAUCUUUUUUUUCUGAAUGCAACCUCAGCGACACAUUUCUACUCUGACCAUCAGUGUGAGGCCAGCGCCAAAUACCUGAGGGAUAAGGGUGGUAACCAGUAACGAGAGAGCUCUUCCUCAACUCCAACAAAAUUUGGAGCGUUGAAAAAGAUAGAAUCGGUAAUUUCGGAACUGAAUGGCUUUGUCCUCAACUCCUCUCCACAGGUUAAAACCUCACUAGAACUUACUUAGAUUGAAGCAGAUUGCUGAAUUCCUAUACACCGGGGAAGUGACAAACAUUGAAACAGCUCAUUAGUGUUAUAUCUCAUGUUCCAAUUGUUGCCAUCAACUUCAGCGUGGCUUCUCAUCCUUUACAUGUGGACUAUGUAAUGGGGAAAAUGUUGCUUUGAGUGUUAAGGUUCCGACGUCUCAGAGUCUGCCAUGUUUGUGUGUUUUGAUGGUGAGAUGAACAAGCUAACAAAUGUUUCAGCUGCAGCAGUGUCGCAGGGUGGUCCAAUGGAAGAUACACAGAACAUUUCCCUCCCACAAUGCCUGUGAGAUAUUGUGGGGAGGUGAUGACAACCCAGGCGAUGAUAUGGGUAGGAGUUGGAGCUCUUUCCACAUUCAAAUCAAACUGAGUUAACACUGGUGUAGCUGUCAACAAUUCUGGAAUCAUAGAAGGCUUGCAGGUUAAAGGCCUCCCAUGAGAAGGUAGUGAAGAAAAUAGUCAUGGUAAAAUUGACCUGUCUCUGGAGGAGACUGGUCUGCCUUCUGCAAAUAAGCCACGUAAACUGAGGCCAUGGCAAUGUUGUGUUGCGGCACAACUACUUUUCUAUGUUUUAUUUUAAAUUAUACCCAUCUUUGAAUAAGCACUCAUUUAAAUUCUAUCGCUACUUAUUUUUUUGUAACACAACUAUCUAUACGUUUUUGUUUUUGUUUUGUUUAUUGUUAUCUUUUAAACAGCCUUCCGCAAAUGGCAAUGAAUCUUUGUUUCCUC